GUCGCUUUGCCGGAGUGGUUAACGGGAUCGCCUGCUAUUGCGCGAGACUUCUUACGCAAGCAAAGCGGUUGGGCUUUGCCCGCCUGUGUUCGAAUCGCAGAGGCGACG